rnacentral:rRNA from 1 species
CACGUAGAAGACUAGUGUUAUUCAUCUUUAUUAGGUUUAAAGGGUACCUAGACGGAAAAUCAAGCCAUAAUAGGGACUAAUUUUCUAGAGUUUUAUGAGAGAAGGGGCGAAUUUCCGGAGGAAAGUUGAUAUUUUGUGAUACUGGAAGGACGGGUAACGGCGAAGGCAACCUUUUAUGUAAAAACUGGACGUUGAGGGACGAAGCCUUGGGUAACGAGAAGGAUUAGAUACCCGUUG